GUCAGGUGAGGUUACUGCUCCCACCUUCCACCUGAGGAAGAUGCUGAUUUUUCAAUCAGGUCUGUUCAAUCAUGUGAUUUUACACAGCGCUUUUCUUCAUCUGUUUGUCAAUGGAGAAAUGAUAAACUGAGAGCCGAAGCUGAAAUUGUGCACGUUAGUCAUUUCUAUUCAUUCAUUCAACAGUAAUUUGUUCUAGAGAUAUAAAAAUGACUCAGACAUAAUUCUGUUAUCCUCACAGAAGUUAUGGUUUACCAGCAGGAGAUGAACAGAAAAUUGCAGUAAAGCAUUGAAGGCACUGCGGAUGAUGCUGCCAGGGGAGAGGAAGUCCAUCUGUGUCUGCUGUGCUGCACUGCUUGAUAAUAUGGCUUAGAUAAUAGAAAUCCAUUACAUCGCUCAAAGGAAGUAAAAAAACUGCUCUCCAAGGAGUAGAGGGAAGCCAAGUAGGAAUUCAAUCUCUGAGCAAGAAUCAGCAUGUGUUUUUUUCCCCGAGAAAGAAGGAAGAAGAUAAAUAAAAGGGCUCCUUGGAUGUUGUCUGACUUGUGCCUGGGGAAUCUUGUGGUCAAGAGAGAAGGCUCCUUUGGAGGUUAAGCAAAGGAAGAUUGCUGCUUUCCCAGAGCGUUUCAGUAAAGGAUGGGCAAUGGAACUCCAGUAGAGAGAGUUCCAUGGAGUAGAACCCUGGAACCCUGAGGACUGACAGUUGCAGGUCCCUCCCUCUGGUUGUGCUAUGUGGGACGCCGCCUCAGCAUGGCCUGACAAGUGGUACCAUGUCUGCACCCAUGAUCCAAACCAGUGAAACCCUGGGCAGCCAAAGUGGAGUGCAUGAACUUAACCACUCAGCCACAGGGCCAGCCCCUUCCAGUGUAUUUUUCAUUUCAUAUAUUUUUUCCCAUAUCUAGAAAUGACCUUUGGGUCUAUUUUAUAGCUUUCAUUUCUCUUCUUAUUAUGCUUAUGUUUUCCUUUACCUUUUUGAAAACAUGGAUCAUAUUUAUAAUAGCUCUUUUAAUGUCCUUCUCUGCUAGUUCCACAAUUACCAUAAUUUCGGGACAUAUUUCUAUUGAUUGAUCCCCACCAUUUAUUGGCCAUAUUAUCCUAACUUGUAAUCAUUUUUUUUAAUUGAAUGCUGGUCAUUGUGAGUUUUAAAGUAUUGAUUGCUGUAUUUUAUUGUAUUCCUUUAGAGAUGGUGUUGGUUUUUUUCCUGGCUUAAGUUUAAGUUAAUAGAAUCAGUUAGAUCCUCUCAAGGUGUUUAAGUUUGGUUAAGAUAAGUCCAGGGAAGGCUUUAGUCCAGGGCCAAUUGAGCCUCAUUGCUAAAGCCGUAUCAUUUAGGAUUAUACCCAAUGUUUGGUCCUGUGUGGGCUCUAAGAAAUGUUCUGCCUACUCCUUUUCAGUGAUUCUUUCUCUGGCUUCAGAUAGUUUCUUCCUAUGCAUACACAGAUCAGACAAAGACUUGGGGAGACCUCUCUGCAGAUCUCCGGGUAUCUUUCUCUGUAGUUCCCGCCUCUCUCUUUCAUUGCCCACAAAUUCUAGCUGUUCUGAGUUCUCUGAACUCUGAUCUCUGUCUCCUCAACUCAGCAAGGUUUCUGGGCUCUGUAUGAGUUCCUUCUUUUUGUUCUGUGUCCUGUAAACUGACUCUAGGCAGUAAAUUGAUGCAGUUGUAGGGCUAACCUUGUUUGUUUCCCUUUUCUCAGGGAUCAUUGUCCUGUGCUGCCUGUUUCACAUGUCUGAAAACUGUUUCUCAUAUAUUCUGUCCAUUUCCUUGUUGUCCUAGAUGGGAACAUAUAUUGGCCCUGACCUUUCACCUUGGCCAGAGCAAAAGAUCUUUAUUCAUUCUUAAAGUUACUGUGGACAAUAAAGAUUCUGAUAUGUUUACUUUACUGACUCAGUUUUAGCCCCAAGUUUUCUUUCUUUUUUGGGGGGGGGGGGGAAGAUUAGCCCUGAGCUAACAUCUGCCACCAAUCCUCCUCUUUCUGCUGAAGAAGAGUGGCCCUGAACUAACAUCUGUGCUCAUCUUCCUCUAUUUUAUAUGUGGGAUGCCUGCCACAGCAUGGCUUGGUAAGUGGUGCAUAGGUCCACAGCCAGGAUCUGACCUGGUGAACCCUGUGCCACCGAAACGUUGUGCGCAAACUUAACUGCUAUGCCACUAGGCCAGCCCCCCCAACUUUUAUUUCAAGCCACACCUACCAACUACCCAGUCAGAAAUUGCUGCUGCUCUUUAUGUAAAUUUCCAGAAAUUCCUUGAUGCUUUGUUACAACUGAAGGAUACAGGAGUUGUCUCCAAGCAAAUUAAGUAUUACCCUGAACCAGAAACAAUCAAAGCUGCCUAUAAAGACUGUUGUGUGACAAUUACAAUGUUCCACUUGUUUUUUUCUGUUAGCCCAAAGAAGAGGCUGUGGAUACCAGUAGAUUUCCCUUUCAGAAAUCUACUAACUGCCAGCCUUAUCUAGGAGCCUCUCAAGAAACGUGCACAGUUACAGACUGGGUUGUACAUGCUGGCCAGCGGGUCUCAGGGCUUCUUUCCAGAGAACAGCCAAAAUGACUACCCCAGGGGGCCUGCCCCACAAGACUGCUAGAGGAGGAAACAAAUCAUUUUCAGAAUUUCUAUCAACAAUCUUUUCCUUGUAACAUUUUUGGUUCAGCCUCAGUAUUGUAUUCAUGUCAUUUUGUUUUGCUUUCUAUUUUUAUUUCUUAUUUCCGGAGCACUUUGCACUGUUGUGGUGACUCAAAUCAAAAAGGAAAAGAAAAAAGGUGUUUUUUUCCUCCUCUCUAUCAUUUUUAUAUCUUAAUCACUUGAUUAAAACUCACCAGCUGAAGAGGAAGUUGCAAUGAACUUUAUUUUUUCUCCAUUAGUUGUAAGCUUCCCUGCCUGAUAUCCAGAUAUAUUUAUUAUUUUGUACAGUGAGGUAUUUCAUUGCAAACCAGAAAUAAAUAUAAAUCCUGUUAGAUGAAAAUCUUUUCUGAAUCAUCACAACUCAGCUGUUUAAAGGGAAUUUCUUGAUUUUUCUACAAUGAUACAAUUCUGUUAAAAAUAAUUCUUGCCGUGUAUUAUGUUUUUGAAAUAUUUUAAUG
rnacentral:lncRNA from 1 species